rnacentral:tRNA from 1 species
GCCUGGGUGGCUUAGUCAGUUAAGCGUCUGACUUCGGCUUAGGUCAUGAUCUCGCGGUCCGUGAGUUCGAGCCCCGCAUCGGGCU